AUUGAACGCUGGCGGCAGGCUUAACACAUGCGAGUCGAGCGGAGCGAGGGUGCUUGCACCUUAGCUUAGCGGCGGACGGGUGAGUAAUGCUUAGGAAUCUGCCUAUUAGUGGGGGACAACAUUCCGAAAGGGAUGCUAAUACCGCAUACGCCCUACGGGGGAAAGCAGGGGAUCUUCGGACCUUGCGCUAAUAGAUGAGCCUAAGUCGGAUUAGCGAGUUGGUGGGGUAAAGGCCUACCAAGGCGACGAUCUGUAGCGGGUCUGAGAGGAUGAUCCGCCACACUGGGACUGAGACACGGCCCAGACUCCUACGGGAGGCAGCAGUGGGGAAUAUUGGACAAUGGGCGGAAGCCUGAUCCAGCCAUGCCGCGUGUGUGAAGAAGGCCUUUUGGUUGUAAAGCACUUUAAGCGAGGAGGAGGCUACUAGUAUUAAUACUACUGGAUAGUGGACGUUACUCGCAGAAUAAGCACCGGCUAACUCUGUGCCAGCCGCCGCCGUAA
rnacentral:rRNA from 1 species